GACAUUCAGUGUCCAGUGGGCUGGACCACGUGGUCAGAUUAUAGUACUUGUAGCGUUACGUGUGGAACAGGACUAAGACAGAGGUCAAGGUCGUGUCAGAACCCGUUAGCCUCUCUUAUGAACAACAGCUGCUCUGGAAACGCCGAAGAAACACAGAUGUGUUCGUCGUCAUCAUGCACUGUUGGUUGGACCUCUUGGUCGGGUUGGACUUCAUGUAGCGUAACAUGUGGAACAGGCCUACAGAAGAGGUCAAGGUCAUGUCAGAAUCCGAUGACUUCCCUGAUUAACGACAGCUGUUCUGGAGACCCAACACAGUUUCAAACAUGCACGGACAAA